rnacentral:tRNA from 1 species
GGGCGCGUAGCUCAGUGGUUUAGAGCGCUUACCUGAUAAGUAAGAGGUCCCUGGUUCGAUCCCAGGCGCGCCCA